UGGGGAAUAUUGCACAAUGGGCGCAAGCCUGAUGCAGCCAUGCCGCGUGUGUGAAGAAGGCCUUCGGGUUGUAAAGCACUUUCAGCGGGGAGGAAGGCGUUAAGGUUAAUAACCUUGGCGAUUGACGUUACCCGCAGAAGAAGCACCGGCUAACUCCGUGCCAGCAGCCGCGGUAAUACGGAGGGUGCAAGCGUUAAUCGGAAUUACUGGGCGUAAAGCGCACGCAGGCGGUUGAUUGAGUCAGAUGUGAAAUCCCCGGGCUUAACCCGGGAAUUGCAUCUGAUACUGGUCAGCUAGAGUCUUGUAGAGGGGGGUAGAAUUCCAUGUGUAGCGGUGAAAUGCGUAGAGAUGUGGAGGAAUACCGGUGGCGAAGGCGGCCCCCUGGACAAAGACUGACGCUCAGGUGCGAAAGCGUGGGGAACAAACAGG
rnacentral:rRNA from 1 species